UAUUUCUAUCAAUGAUCUAAUAUCGAAUUUAUACAGUCAAGCUGAGCAGAGUCAUUUAGUUAAUCAUGAACAAAGUCUGAGUGAAAAUGAAUUGGAUUUCACCAAAACUGUGAUGUCCUCUAAUUUGACAAAUGCUAAUCAUGAUUUUGAUGUUGAUUCCUGGGAAUUUCAAGAUGUCUCUACAGGAGCCAGAGCUGAGUACCAGACCACUGUUAUUGGUCUUGGAGAGUCUCAUACAAAUUAUUCUACCAAAACAGAGCUAGAUGAUUAUGUGGAACUCUUUUCCAAAUUGAAGAAAGAAUUGCACUAUAUUGCGAUGUGCCAUCUGGAAAAUCUAAAGGUCAGUAGACUGCCCAACCUCUCCUUCUCUCCCUCCCCAAUUCAAAGUUGAAUCAUUAAUGGCAUUUAAUUUUGAAAUCUGCUUUUUGAUAGAAAAAUCAAAGUUCUGGUGCUCUUAUUGGUCAAGACGCAAAAGUGCAAGCUCUUGAUAAAGAAAUACAGGAUCUUGAUAAUGAACUGCGCCAAUAUAGUAUUUUCUCUUGUGAAGUCCACUCAGAGAGUCGCUCACCAGGAAAUAUAUGCCUCAAUAUGUUCGUUGAAGUUUUGCAGGAGCCUGAGUUCCAAGGUUUUGAGUCAGACUGUCAUUUAACAAAGAAAUUGUCGCUAGUACGUAUUGUGCUUUAAUUUAUUAUGAAAGGAACAUUUAUCGUACAAUUCAUGAAUUUUUGAGUCAUCAUUUUUCUUUUGUCGCUAAUGCAAUAAGUUGGCUAUUCCAUUUUGAAAUAUUAUAAUCUAUAAUUAUCUGUGAUUGUGUUUGCAGCAUUUAGCAUUCUUUAGCUUUCUAGUACAAUUUUACUGCACCAGUAUUUUACAUUAAGUAAAAACCUUGUAGCAGAUCAACCUGUUACAUAUUUCUUAAAAGAUCUUCUGCAGUAGGGAAUAUAUACUGCACAUGGUGAAUUCUUAUGCCUGUGGCUCAUCUAGGCUCCAGAAAAAGAGUAGGUAGUUGCUGAUCAUUGAAAAGAAACUUGUUUAUAGACACGGCUAACAACCAGUGUCUUAUGGAACUAUUUUGCUUGUUUAGUGGUUUGAUUUUAUUCUACAAAGAAUUCUGACAUUUAUGUAUUGAUAGGCAGAGAGUGAUUUGAGAUCAGCACUUGCACUCCUCAAAUAUGUGGCCUUGACGCUAAAAAUUUUAACAUCAGUGCCAAGGGAGGAGCAAUCUAGAUAUAUUUCUGCAUGGUCUAAAAUGCUGUCUGUUUGUGCACAAGAACUGAGGCAUGGCGCCUUCAUCUGGAAACAGUCAUUGAAAGAGAAUGUCCAUGACCAAAUAUUAUCUAAACCUCAAGGCAAGAAGUAUGUCCUUGCCCUUGGUGAAAUUUACAGAGUUGUUGAAGUUCUUCAAUCCUCAGCAACACUUUAUAAGCCAUGGAUAUUAGCAAGUUCAACAGAUCCCAUGGACAUAUUUACUCUUCUAAGCGAGUGUUCUUCCCAAUGGUCAAGUUCAGGACUUGAAGAAGCUCUGCAUGGUAUUUUGAAUCCACCUGAUUUUGAAUAUCAUGAAAGUCUGAAGACAUUGCUAGAAUCUAUCAAGUAUAUCCAUGAUCUUGAUUCCUACACACUUUAUAAUCAUGUUGUCUCUGGACAAGGUCGUAUCUGUCAACUGUCAGGUUUAACUACCGGAAUAGUGCCAGGAAUGAAAACAGUAAUCUGGAAUGGAGAGCAUUGCUUUCUCACACUCGCUAAUUUAUGGGCAAAUUUAGUUAGCAGUGAACCUCCAAAUUUGCCGUGCAUAAAUGUUGGCUGAUGAGAAUGCUGGGACAAGUUGGAUGUCAUUUUAGCAGCUAGUUACCUGUCAGAGGCACCAUCUAAUCAAAUUAAACCAUUUGUGACAAGCCUUGUGGAGCAUAAACCAUCUGUGAUGAGGCUUCUGGGUAUAAACCACUGGCUGCAGCACUUCAAGGAUCGCACUCGGGGAUGUCAGUAUUACAGUACGAAAACUGAAGAUGUAAAUGGGCGAAUUGGAGCUUGGAGUGACCGGGUGAGGAAUCCAGGUCAACACUCUUCUUUUUUUUUUCUUUCCAAAUUUACUGGUUGCCAUUCAUUACAAGAGAUAUGCGACAUAGCAAUUGGGUGUAGAGUCAGUGAAUAUCACCCAUAUACCUAGAAAUUGAUAGGAUUGUGACAUGUAUACAGUUGCUUC
rnacentral:misc_RNA from 1 species